rnacentral:rRNA from 1 species
CCGUCACACCAUGGGAGUGGGCUGCAAAAGAAGUGGGUAGUUUAACCUUUCGAGGAGGACGCUCACCACUUUGUGGUUCAUGACUGGGGUGAAGUCGUAACAAGGUAGCGCUAGGGGAACCUGGCGCUGGAUCACCUCCUUAUACGA